rnacentral:rRNA from 1 species
ACGGCGAGUGAAGCGGUAAUAGCUCAAAUUUGAAAUCUGGCUCUAGGGUCCGAGUUGUAAUUUGUAGAGGAUGUUUCGGGUGCGCCCGCAGUUUAAGUUCCUUGGAACAGGACGUCAUAGAGGGUGAGAAUCCCGUCUUGAACUGUACGGCAAGUCCAUGUGAAACUCCUUCGACGAGUCGAGUUGUUUGGGAAUGCAGCUCAAAAUGGGAGGUAAAUUUCUUCUAAAGCUAAAUAUUGGCCAGAGACCGAUAGCGCACAAGUAGAGUGAUCGAAAGAUGAAAAGCACUUUGAAAAGAGAGUUAAACAGUAUGUGAAAUUGUUAAAAGGGAAGCGUUUGCAACCAGACUUGUUUCUAACAGUUCUACCGCAGUUCUCUGUGGCUUAUUCUGUUAGUCCAGGCCAGCAUCAGUUUGGGUGGCUCGUUAAAGACUUUGGGAAUGUAUCUACUCCUUCGGGUGUAGACUUAUAGCCCAUUGUGUAAUAGGGUCUACCUGGACU